rnacentral:rRNA from 1 species
AUUGAACGCUGGCGGCAUGCUUUACACAUGCAAGUCGAACGGUAACAGGCCUUCGGGUGCUGACGAGUGGCGAACGGGUGAGUAAUGCAUCGGAACGUGCCCAGAGGUGGGGGAUAACGCAGCGAAAGCUGUGCUAAUACCGCAUGUGAUCUGAGGAUGAAAGCGGGGGACCAGGCAGCAAUGUUUGGCCUCGCGCCUUUGGAGCGGCCGAUGUCAGAUUAGGUAGUUGGUGGGGUAAAGGCCUACCAAGCCGACGAUCUGUAGCUGGUCUGAGAGGACGACCAGCCACACUGGGACUGAGACACGGCCCAGACUCCUACGGGAGGCAGCAGUGGGGAAUGUUGGACAAUGGGCGCAAGCCUGAUCCAGCAAUGCCGCGUGCGGGAAGAAGGCCUUCGGGUUGUAAACCGCUUUUGUACGGAACGAAAAGGCUCUGGCUAAUACCUGGGGCUGAUGACGGUACCGGAAGAAUAAGCACCGGCUAACUACGUG